AGAGUUUGAUCAUGGCUCAGAACGAACGCUGGCGGCAUGCCUAACACAUGCAAGUCGAACGCCCCGCAAGGGGAGUGGCGGACGGGUGAGUAACGCGUGGGAACCUGCCCUGUGGUUCGGGAUAACUCGGCGAAAGCCGUGCUAAUACCGGAUGUGUCCUGAGGGAGAAAGAUUUAUCGCCACAGGAGGGGCCCGCGUCG
rnacentral:rRNA from 1 species